rnacentral:rRNA from 1 species
AUUGAACGCUGGCGGCAGGCCUAACACAUGCAAGUCGAGCGGAUGACGGGAGCUUGCUCCUUGAUUCAGCGGCGGACGGGUGAGUAAUGCCUAGGAAUCUGCCUGGUAGUGGGGGACAACGUUUCGAAAGGAACGCUAAUACCGCAUACGUCCUACGGGAGAAAGCAGGGGACCUUCGGGCCUUGCGCUAUCAGAUGAGCCUAGGUCGGAUUAGCUAGUAGGUGAGGUAAUGGCUCACCUAGGCGACGAUCCGUAACUGGUCUGAGAGGAUGAUCAGUCACACGGGAACUGAGGCACGGUCCAGACUCCUACGGGAGGCAGCAGUGGGGAAUAUUGGACAAUGGGCGAAAGCCUGAUCCAGCCAUGCCGCGUGUGUGAAGAAGGUCUUCGGAUUGUAAAGCACUUUAAGUUGGGAGGAAGGGCAGUAAGCUAAUACCUUGCUGUUUUGACGUUACCGACAGAAUAAGCACCGGCUAACUCUGUGCCAGCAGCCGCCGUAACAC